UACGAAAGGGGCUAGCGUUGGUCGGAGUUACAGGGCGUAAAGCGCACGUGGGCGGCCUUGUAAGAUGGGGGUGAAAUCCCCGGGCUCAACCCGGGAACUGCCUUCAUGACUGCAAAGCUAGAGGAUGCGAGAGGUUAGCGGAAUUCCGAGUGUAGAGGUGAAAUUCGUAGAUAUUCGGAAGAACACCAGUGGCGAAGGCGGCUAACUGGCGCAUUUCUGACGCUGAGGUGCGCAAGCGUGUGGAGCAAACAGG
rnacentral:rRNA from 1 species